rnacentral:rRNA from 1 species
CCCUUAGAUGUUCGGGGCCGCACAUGCGCUACACUGAACGGAUCAGCGUGCGUUACGCCUGGCCCGAGAGGGCCGGGAAACCCGUUGAACCCCGUUCGUGCUAGGGAUUGGGGCUUGCAAUUGUUCCCCAUGAACGAGGAAUUCCCAGUAAGCGCGAGUCAUCAGCUCGUGUUGAUUACGUCCCUGCCCUUUGUACACACCGCCCGUCGCUACUACCGAUCGGUCCAGUUAAUGAGCUCUUCGGAUUGGUCCCGUAGGCGGGUCUUCGGGCCUGCUCUCGGCGUGCCGAGAAGAUGCGCAAAUUGACCGGACUAGAGGUCGUAAAAGUCGUAACA